CCCCCAAAGCCACGGGGGGAACAGCCCAGAAAUGGGGGAACUGGGAUGGGGGAACUGGGAUGGGGGAACUGGGAUGGGGGAACUGGGAUGGGGAACAAGAUCCAGAAACUUGGGGGGCCCCCAAAACCGAGGGGAUCCCAAAAACCCCACCCCAAACCCCAAAAUCUGCUCCUGAACCUUCCAAAGUGCGCCUGACACCCCUGGAGCUGCUGCACCAGUGCUCCCAGUCCCAGUGCUCCCAGUCCCAGUGCCCCCAGUCCCAGUCUCAGUGCUCCCAGUCCUUCCCAGUGCUCCCAGUCCUUCCCAGUGCUCCCAGUCCCAGUGUCCCAGUCCCAGUCCCACCAGUCCUUCCCAGUCCCAGUCCCAGUCCCAGUGUCCCGGUGCCGGUUCCCUGGUGCCCCAGUCCCAGUUCCCCAGUCCCGUUUCCCCGGUGUCCCAGUGCUGGUUCCGGUUCGGUGCCGGUUCCCCAGUUCCCCAGUGUUCCAGUCCCAGUUCCCUGGUCCCAGUUCCCCAGUCCCAGUUUCCCAUUUCCCCAGUUCCGGUUUGGUUCCGGUUCCCCAUUUCCCUGGUUCCUGUUUCCCCAGUCCCGUUUUCUCAGUCCCAGUUCCCCAUUUCCCCGUUUCCCCAGUUCUGGUUCGGUUCCGGUUCCCCAUUUCCCUGUUUCCCCAGUCCGGUUCCGGUUCGGUUCUGGUUCGGUGCCGGUUCCCCGGUUUGGUUUGGUGCCAGUUCAGUGCCGGUUCCCCAUUUCCCCAGUUCCCUGGUCCCAGUUUCCCAUUUCCCCGGUUCUGGUUCUGGUUCGGUUCCGGUUCCCCAGUCCCGGUCCCAGUUCCCCGUUUCCCCAUUUCCCCGGUGUCCCGGUGCUGGUUCCAGUUCGGUCCCAUUUCCCCGGUGUCCUGGUGCUGGUUCUGGUUCAGUGCUGGUUCCCCGGUUCCCCAGUCCCAGUCCCAUUUCCCCAUUUCCCCAGUUCCCUGUUUUCCCGUUUCCCCAGUUCCCGGUUCCGGUUCCCCAGUUCCCCAUUUCCCCGAUCCGGUUCCGGUUCCCCGUUUCCCCGUUGUCCCGGUUCCGGUUCGGUUCCGGUUCCCCAUUUCCCCGUGUCCCCGUUGUCCCGCUUCCAUUUCCCCAUUUCCCCGGUCCAGUUCCCCGGUCCGGGUCGGUUCCGGUUCCGGUUCGGUCCCGGUUCCCCGUUUCCCCGUUUCCCCGUUGUCCCAGUUCCAGUUC
rnacentral:lncRNA from 1 species